AGGACGAACGCUGGCGGCGUGCUUAACACAUGCAAGUCGAGCGGUAAGGCCUUUCGGGGUACACGAGCGGCGAACGGGUGAGUAACACGUGGGUGAUCUGCCCUGCACUUCGGGAUAAGCCUGGGAAACUGGGUCUAAUACCGGAUAUGACCUCAGGUUGCAUGACGUUGGGGGUAGGAAAGAUUUAUCGGUAGCAGGGAGUCGGGCCCGCGGCCUAUCCAGUCUUUGGUUGGUGGGGUAAUCGGCCUACCGAAGGCGACGACGGGUAGCCGACCUGAGAGGGUCGACCGGCCAC
rnacentral:rRNA from 1 species